GCCAAUGUAAGAGAAACGGAGUGAAAGGAGCCUCUUUCUAGGGUCUGUGGGUGCCAGAUCUCUGGAUUUCUCUAUGAAGAUAUUCGACAAAGAGCGGUGUUGGCCAUCUCUGUUCACCUGGGGUGCAAAUCAGGGAUGCUCUAACACCUCAUGUAUGUGAUUGCCCCAACUUCAGUUCUGGCCCUUUGGAAAAAGGCCCAAUGAAUGCUGCCUGAGUGCACAAGGACCUUUGGCUGUCAGAUGAUGAGUGCCAUGUUACCUAACCCGUCUUCUAAGAGCACUAAGUGGAGGUGAGGAAAUUCAAAGUACCAUUUGUGACUGGGUCACACAAAGGAAGAGGGAUCAACAAGAAGCUUUUGUCUGUGUUUUAGACGAUCAUAUCAAUGAUAAGGAAACAAACAAGAUUACAAAAUGGUGAAAAGCUGAGAGGGCAGACAGAUAAUAAAGAAAAGCUGAAUAUGGAAGUCAGGCCCUCACACCACCCUGCAAGCCACCUCAAGAAAACUUCACACAUCACUGCACUAGGCCUCCGUCCCCCUCUUCAUAGCUUCAGCCUUCCACAUUAUAUCACAUAGGACAAAAUAGUAUAAUAUGCUUAGAUGAGGAGAAAACUGAUAGAAGCUUUUGGUUGCUAAUGCAAAAAUGACUAAUGCACUCUAAAAUUGGAGUGUGGUCAUUUCUUUUUGUGUAACAGCACUCUGUGCUAUCUCAGAAGAUACGGAUAUCGGCUAUCCUGAGAAAGUUAUACUCCUAUGACAGGUGAAAUGCAGGUGGGAUAUGUAUUUCACCUGUCACAGCUGUAUAACAAUCUCAGGAUAGGAAUGAACCCCAAAAUUUACAUAAGUCACCAUUUUCAAGGAAACCUGAAAAUUCCUGGGCUUGAUUCUGCACUUUCUCAUGUUUUGUGUAAACACUUCGACAAGUGGCAAUUGCAGCAUAAAAGCCAGUGCAACCAUUUUGGUGGUGGCUUGCCCCCAUGUAAAGUAUAGAGAGGAUCUUUCCUAGGGACAUGAGGAAGAGUUUUUCAUGAUUCUUGAUAAGAAUUAUGGCUACAG